UCCAUAGUUUCUAUGGUGACUGAAAGCCCUAAACAAAAUUCCUGUCUUUGACUCGGCCUCCUACAAAGUUGUCUGAACAUCAGUAUGUCUCAAUGAAACACGGUCCAUCCUGAUGCUUACGUAAAACCAGAUCACCUGAAUGCAUCUUACAUACCCACAUCUCUUCAGCCAAAAUGUCACUCAUAGUGCACUGGAGAAGGUAGGGCACCUCCACAUUACGGUCUCCAUCAAACACCCCAUAGAGGGCCUCCCGGUUGUCGCAGAAGUUGUUCACCGACAGGGCUGCAACGCACAACCUGCAGAGCAAGAGUGAUGCGUGCUAAGUCUACUCAUCUUUUCUUGCCCACCCAGCGCUAUUAACAGUCUUAUCUCUUUCUUCAUGACCUCAGAUGGGUUAAAAAUAAACCUAAGUGAACUUCAACUGUAAUUCUCUAUGGACAUCAAGAUGAGACUGUAUCAAAGAAUCCUUUCCCCAAACAAGGAGGUUUCAACUCCAUGCCAAUUCCACUAGGACCCCUGUUUCAAACUGAUGCUUCUUGUUCAAAGUAUCUGCUUAUUUAUUCCUUCCAUUAGACCAGAAUCCUGGAGAACAGAUACCACCACUUCUCCAGAGUCCUGAGCACUGUGCAUCACAAAGAGCAGAUGUCCAACAAAUACUUUUGUUCAAAUGAGGAACCAAUAAA